UACGAAGGGGGCUAGCGUUGCUCGGAAUCACUGGGCGUAAAGCGCACGUAGGCGGCUUCUUAAGUCAGGGGUGAAAUCCUGGAGCUCAACUCCAGAACUGCCUUUGAUACUGGGAGGCUCGAGUCCGGAAGAGGUGAGUGGAACUGCGAGUGUAGAGGUGAAAUUCGUAGAUAUCAGGAGGAACACCGAUAGCGAAGGCAGCUCGCUGGGACGGUACUGACGCUGAGGCCGCGAAA
rnacentral:rRNA from 1 species